rnacentral:lncRNA from 1 species
GCAUGGUACAGGGGUGACUGAGUUCCUGCUUUGUUAGUUCCCACUGAAACUGAUUGACAAAAAGGGCCUGGCACCUCUCUCUUCUCUCUCUUUCUCUCUCUCACCAUGUGAUCUAUGCGUGCCUGUUCCCGUCUGCUUGCACUAAGAAUGGAAACAGCCUAAGUUCCUCACCAGAAGCAGAGGCUGGCACCAUGUUUGUUAUGCAGCCUGCAGAACCAGAAAUCAUGGGAAAAACUGCCCAUUUCUGUUUUGUCUACUUUGCUUUGGGAAGUGAGAGCUAUACUCAUUAUCACCACAUCCCCUGGCAUCCAACUCCUGCUGGAGGCCAGGAAGUUCAACAUCAAGGUGCCAGUUUCUGAUGAGGGCCUUUUUGCUACUUUCUACGGCAGAAAGUUGAAGAAAGAGCUAGAGAAUGCAGUCAAGAUCAAGAGCAGAGGGAGCCAACUCAUCUUUAUUUUUUUAUUUUUGGAAUGGAGUUUUGCUCUUAUUGCCCAGGCUGGAGUGUAAUGGUGCAAUCUCGGCUCACUGCAACCUCUGCAUCCCAGGUUCAAGUGAUUCUCCAGCCUCAGCCUCCCGAGUAGCUGAGAUUACAGGCACCCGCCACCACACCCAGCUAAUUUUUGUACUUUUAGUAGAGACAGGGUUUCUCCAUGUUGGCCAGGCUGGUUUCAAACUCCUGACCUCAGGUGAUCUGCCAGCUUCAGCCUCCCAAAGUGUUGGGAUUACAGGUGUGUGCCACCACACCCGGCCUCAUCUUUUUAAAACAGGAACUUACUCCCUUGAUAACUUAUUCACUCUUGCAAUAUCAGCAUUAAUCUAUUCAUGAUAGCAGAGCCUUUACGACCUAAUUACCUUUCAACACCCCCAUCUCUCAAUAUAGUUGCAUUGGGGAUUAAGUUCCAAUAAAUGAAUUUUGGGGGACACCUGCAAACCAUAGCAAUACGUUUUUCUAUGGCUGUUCUUAU